UACGUAGGGUGCAAGCGUUGUCCGGAAUUAUUGGGCGUAAAGAGCUCGUAGGCGGUCUGUCGCGUCUGCUGUGAAAACUCAGGGCUUAACCCUGAGCUUGCAGUGGGUACGGGCAGACUAGAGUGCGGUAGGGGAGACUGGAAUUCCUGGUGUAGCGGUGAAAUGCGUAGAUAUCGAAGUGGAACACCAGUGGCGAAGGCGAGUCUCGUGGACAUUUC
rnacentral:rRNA from 1 species